UACGUAGGGGGCUAGCGUUAUCCAGAAUUACUGGGCGUACAGCGCGUGUAGGCGGCUGGUUAAGUGUGAUGUGAAAUCUUCGGGCUCAACCCGAAAACUGCAUUGCAAACUGGCCUGGCUAGAGUGCAGGAGAGGGAAGCGGAAUUCCAGGUGUAGCGGUGAAAUGCGUAGAUAUCAGGAGGAACACCGGCGGCGAAGGCGGCUUCCUGGCCCAUUACUGACGUUCAGGUACGAAAGCGUGGGUAGCAAACAGG
rnacentral:rRNA from 1 species